CGUAACAAGGUCUCCGUAGGUGAACCUGCGGAGGGAUCAUUACACAAAUAUGAAGGCGGGCUGGAACCUCUCGGGGUUACAGCCUUGCUGAAUUAUUCACCCUUGUCUUUUGCGUACUUCUUGUUUCCUUGGUGGGUUCGCCCACCACUAGGACAAACAUAAACCUUUUGUAAUUGCAAUCAGCGUCAGUAACAAAUUAAUAAUUACAACUUUCAACAACGGAUCUCUUGGUUCUGGCAUCGAUGAAGGACGCAGCGAAAUGCGAUAAGUAGUGUGAAUUGCAGAAUUCAGUGAAUCAUCGAAUCUUUGAACGCACAUUGCGCCCUUUGGUAUUCCAAAGGGCAUGCCUGUUCGAGCGUCAUUUGUACCCUCAGGCUUUGCUUGGUGUUGGGCGUCUUGUCUCUAGCUUUGCUGGAGACUCGCCUUAAAGUAAUUGGCAGCCGGCCUACUGGUUUCGGAGCGCAGCACAAGUCGCACUCUCUAUCAGCAAAGGUCUAGCAUCCAUUAAGCCUUUUUUUCAACUUUUGACCUCGGAUCAGGUAGGGAUACCCGCUGAACUUA
rnacentral:rRNA from 1 species